rnacentral:lncRNA from 1 species
ACGUGUUGGUGGAAUCUUUUCGUCUCGUUGCCUGAUUCUUUUUUCUUCAAGAAAACAAGAAAUUGACGCUCUGUUCUGCCCCUUUCAUCUUCAACGGUACAUCCUGAUCUUCAGGUUUUGUUUCUUGAAUUUAAAGAAAACUACAUUUUGUAAAUGUUGGAAUGCCUCGGUGAUUUUAUGAUCUUGAGUGCAAUUCUAGACUCUGAAUUGUCACUCAAAUAUGAUACAUGAGCCUGAGUUUUGAAAUUAUUAUCAUGCCUCGAUGACGAACCGAAAGGAAUUGAUGGAUAUUAUUUUGACGGAUAUUAUUUGUCCCAUUAAACUUUGUAAAUGUUGGGAUGCCUCUGUUAUUUUAAAGAAAACUACAUUUUGUAAAUGUUGGGAUGUCUCGAUGAUUUUAAAGAACAUCACAUUUUGUAAAUGUUGGGAAUUGGGAUGAUUUGGUGAUUUUAUGAUCUUGUGUGCAAUUCUAGACUAUGAAUUGUCACUCAGAUACAAUACAAGAGCCUGAGUUUUGAAAUUAUUAUGAUGUUUCAAUGACCCGAAAAGAAUUGACGGAUAUUAUUUUUGCUCCUUAAAUUUUUUAAAUGAUGGGAUGCCUCGGUGAUUUUAUGAUCUUGAGUGAAAUUCUAGACUAUGAAUUGUCACUCAGAUAUUAUACAUGAGCCUGAGUUUUGAAAUUAUUAUGAUGCCUCGAUGACCCGAAAAGAAUUGACGGAUAUUAUUUUUACUCCUUAAAUUUUUUAAAUGUUGGGAUGCCUCAGUGAUUUUAUGAUAUUGAGUGAAAUUCUAGACUAUGAAUUGUCACUUAGAUAUGAUCCAUGAGCCUGAGUUUUGAAAUUAUUAUGAUGCCUCAAUGACCCGAAAAGAAUUGACGGAUAUUAUUUUUGCUCCUUAAAUUUUUUAAAUGUUGGGAUGCCUCGGCGAUUUUAUGAUCUUGAGUGAAAUUCUAGACUAUGAAUUGUCACUCAGAUAUGAUACAUGAGCCUGAGUUUUGAAAUUAUUAUGAUGCCUCGAUGACCCGAAAAGAAUUGACGGAUUUUAUUUGUCCCAUUAAAUUUUUAAAAUGUUGGGAUGCCUCAGUAAUUUUAAAGAAAACUACAUUUUGUAAAUGUUGGAAUGCCUCGGUGAUUUUAUGAUCUUGAGUGCAAUUCUUGACUAUGAAUUGUCACUCAAAUAUGAUACAUGAGCCUGAGUUUUGAAAUUAUUUUGAUGCCUCGAUGACCCGAAAGGAAUUGAUGGAUAUUAUUUGUCCCAUUAAACUUUGUAAAUGUUGGGAUGCCUAUGUGAUUUUAAAGAAAACUACAUUUUGUAAAUUUUGGGAUGCCUCGAUGAUUUUAAAGAACAUUACAUUUUGUAAAUGUUGGGAAUUGGGAUGAUUUGGUGAUUUUAUGAUCUUGUGUGCAAUUCUAGACUAUGAAUUGUCACUCAGAUACAAUAUAUGAGCCUGAGUUUUGAAAUUAUUAUGAUGUCUCGAUGACCCGAAAGGAAUUGAUGGAUAUUAUUUGUCCCAUUAAACUUUGUAAAUGUUGGGAUGCCUCUAUGAUUUUAAAGAAAACUACAUUUUGUAAAUGUUGGGAUGCCUCGAUGAUUUUAAAGAACAUUACAUUUUGUAAAUGUUGGGAAUUGGGAUGAUUUGGUGAUUUUAUGAUCUUGUGUGCAAUUCUAGACUAUAAAUUGUCACUCAGAUACAAUAUAUGAGCCUGAGUUUUGAAAUUAUUAUGAUGCUCGAUGACCCAAAAGGAAUUGAUGGAUAUUAUUUGUCCCAUAAAUGUAUAAAUGUUACAAGUGUUUGGACGCCUCAAUGACCCUAAAGAAAAUAUUUUGAAUACUUUACUUAGUGUAAAAAUCGAUGAUCCUAAUAUGAAUCUUUAUUUAUAAUAUAAGGGAUCGAUUUGUUGUGCUUUUAUGACCCCGAAUGCAGUUCUAGACUAUGAAUUGCACUAUGAGAUGGAAUGUAGGAUGCCUCAUUGAUCCUAAAUAAAUCAAUGGAAACUAUAUGUUCCAUAAAUAUUGCAAGUGUGUGGUUGCCUCGAUGACCUUAAAGGAAACAUUACGAAUACUUCACUCAUAGUGUAAAAGUUGUAUGAUGCCUUACCUGUGAUAUUGAUAUUAAUUUUUAUUCGUAAUAUAAGGGAUGGAUCCAUUGUGUGCUUUUAUGACUCUGAAUGCAAUUUUAAAUCGUAAAUUGCCACAUUGAGAUGGAAUAUAUGAUGCCUCGAUGACCCGAAAGGGAUUAAUGGAUAUUAUUUGUUUCAUAAAAGCUGCAAGUGUUUGGACGCCUCAAUGACAAAGGAAAUGUUUUGAACACUUUACUAAUAGUGUAAAAGUCGAUUCAAUAAUUUGAAGUCUCACAUUCAAUGGUACAUUUCUAACUCUAUCUUGAUUUUCAAGUUUUCAUUCUUGAUUUUUUUUUAACGGUAGGAAUCAUUCAAAACUUUGUUUCUGUCGGAGACCUUUUACAAAAGAACCUACAAUUUUGUAAAUAUAAAAGUUAAUAGGGUAUCUAUAUGCAUAUAAACCCGCGAAACACUGCUAGAUGAAUUUUUUUUUUUCACAGUAUAUGAGAGAUUUUGAAACAUUUAGGGUGCCUUGACAACUUUGAAGAAAAUAUAAUGGACACUAUUUUUAUGAUGUAGAAGUUGGAUGAUAUCUUUUAUGACCUGACUGAAAUUCUGUACUGUGAUUGCCUCUGUGAGUUGAAAUCAUUUUUUUGUAAUUUGAAAAGGGGAUGAUAUAAUCCUAAGUCCAAUGGUUGGAAACAAUGAAUAUUAGUUUUGCUCCUUAGGAUUUUGUAAAUGUUGGGAUGUCUUAGUGAUUUUAUGAUCUUGAGUGCAUUUCUAGACUAUGAAUUGUCACCCAGAUAUGAUAUAUGAGCACAAAUUUUUAAACUAUUAUGAUGUCUCGAUGACCCGAAAGGAAUUGAUGGAUAAAUUUUUGUCCCAUAAAUGUUGCAAAUGUUUGGAUGCCUCGAUGACCCUAAAGCAAACAUUAUGAACACUUUAAUCAUAAUGUAAAUUUUGGAUGAUGCCUUAUAUGUGAUAUUGAUAUGAAUUUUUAUUCAUGCAUAAUGCCUCAAUGAUAUGAAAAGAAUUAAUGGAUAUGAUUUGUUUCAAAAAUGUUGCAAGUGUUUGGACGCCUCAAUGACCCUAAAGGAAAUAUUUUGAACACUUUACCCAUAGUGUAAAAUUGAUGACCCUAAUACAUAUUGAUAUGAAUCUAUAUUCAUAAAAUACGGGAUGGAUCCGCUGUGCUUUUAUGACCCUGAAUGCAAUUUUAGACUGUGAAUUGCCACUAUGAUAUUGGAUGUGGAAUGCCUUGACGAUCCGAAAGGAAUCAGUGGAUAUUAUAUAUUCCGUAUAUGUUGCAAGUAUUUGGAUGCCUGGAUGACCCUAAAAGAAACAAUAUGAACACUUUAAUCAUAAUUUAAAGUUUGAUGAUGCCUUACAUGCGAUACUGGUAUGAAUUUGUAUUCGUAAUAUAAAUGCUCAUACUCAUUGUGCUUUUAUGAUAUUGAAUUUUGACCUUUUGAUUGUGAAUUGCCGCUUUGUGGAUUAUGGGAUGCCUCAAUGAUCCAACAAGAAUUAUAAAUAUUAUUUGCUCGAUGAAUUUACUUUGUGCUUUUAUGAUCCCAAAUGUAACUCUAUACUGUGAAUGUGAAUUGCCAAUAAAAGAUGGGAAUAUGAGCCUAAAUUGUGUAAGGGAUGAUACUCGCUGCACUUUUAUGACUCUCAAUGAAAUUCUAGACUGUUCUUUUUGAGCCUACAAGUCUGUCAGCAUAGGUUGAGGUGCUUUAUAGUUUAAGUGACUGGCCAUAUAAUGUUAGUCUUGAGGGAUAAAUUAUACUCUUAGUCUUGAAUCUUGAUGAAGUUCUUCAAAGGCAAAAGUGAUAAUAUUCAAACGUUUUAUAGCUAUAUGUUGCAGCAAUUUGAAUUGAUGGUUUGUCAAUUUCAUUGUGUUUUAAUAUACAUGGAGUAUUGUGCCUGAGUUCAUGUGGAUUCCAUGAGAAUUAGUGACUGUAAUUCUCCUUGGCUCUUACCCUUAACUUUAUGAUAGGAGUUAUACAUAAGGAUGAAAUAACUGAUUUAUCAAUAGGAAAUGUGUAGAAGCUUUUCUUAAUGUAAUUAUUUUAUGAUAAAAUGUGAUGGGUGGAAGCUCUUUGAAAAAAAAGUAAAUUUAACUUUUGAGUUUAAAUACUUUGGUUGUUAACUUGAUAACUAUAUUUUGGGCUAAUGCAUACAUUGUGUACCAGGUUCAGUAAGUUGUAAUGCACAUAUUUGAAUUAGAAAGUGUUUCAAAAGCUCAGAUCUGUUUGCGGCGGUCACGCAAGGACGGCAUUGGAAGGAAGUUCUCUUUUCUUUUCCCUUCAAUUUCAGGUUUAGAAAACGGUAGGGAGGAAGAAACUGAAUAAACAAACUUAAUGGACCGAUCCUUGAAAUGAAGUAUAAAUACGCACAAAGUUAAAAAGAAAAGAUUUAAGGAUCCUAGGUGGCCCUAGCCAGAUGCUCUUAAAUUUGGUUUUGAGAUGUUGUUUGCAUGCUGCAUAAUGAGGUUUGUGCAUGACUUGAUUUUCUGUUUGAAGGACUAAAUUCAAAUAUGAUGGAUAGCAGUAUUUCUUUCGAUUCCCACUCAGUCCUUUAUCAAAUAGCUUCCCGUUUGAUAAGGCAUUAUUAUGGUAGCCUCCCCAUUAUGGGAAAUUAAUAUCUCAAAAUGCAGAUGGGAAAUGGAUACUAACCUUUGCAAUAUUAUAAUGAGUUUUUUUUUUUAUUUAUUAGAAGAGCUUAAAUUCAUUUUGGUCCUUUAAAUAUCAUGAUUGUAUGACUUUAGUCCCGUCCUUUUCUUUUUCAAGUGAUUUUAGUCUCUAAACUUUCCCCUUUCCAAUUUGAUAGCCUCCCCAUUAUCCUAAGAGAAAUGAUAUUUGUACAACCAUUUAGUGACAACUUUUAGACAAUUUUCUCUCUCACACUCACAUUAUAUUCUUACUCUCUCUCCAUUGUUUUUGACCAAUGAGAAGAGAGAAGAAGAAGCAGACCUUGACUAAGUUUAGAAAUUCAGCAAUUGGCCUAAC